rnacentral:rRNA from 1 species
GACGAACGCUGGCGGCGUGCUUAACACAUGCAAGUCGAACGGAAAGGCCCUGCUGUUGUGGGGUGCUCGAGUGGCGAACGGGUGAGUAACACGUGAGUAACCUGCCCUUGACUUUGGGAUAACUUCAGGAAACUGGGGCUAAUACCGGAUAGGAGCUCCUGCUGCAUGGUGGGGGUUGGAAAGUUUCGGCGGUUGGGGAUGGACUCGCGGCUUAUCAGCUUGUUGGUGGGGUAGUGGCUUACCAAGGCUUUGACGGGUAGCCGGCCUGAGAGGGUGGACGGCCACAUUGGGACUGAGGGACGGCCCAGACUCCUACGGGAGGCAGCAGUGGGGAAUAUUGCACAAUGGGCGGAAGCCUGAUGCAGCAACGCCGCGUGCGGGAUGACGGCCUUCGGGUUGUAAACCGCUUUCGCCUGUGACGAAGCGUGAGUGACGGUAAUGGGUAAAGAAGCACCGGCUAACCACGUG